AGAUGUUUAAACAGUGGUGGAAGGUUGAACUCGCUCCCCAGGCCAGCACAGCUCAUCUACUCCCCAUGGGCGGCAGGUUUUCUCCUUCAUGACCAAACCACCAGGAAAACCCAGCAAAGCUCCCAGACCUGCCCGGCCGCCGAGAUUUAUGCACGUGAAGCACCCCCAUGCUUAAAGAAAAUGCGAGGCUGUAAAGAGAGUCCAUUGUUACGCACGCACAAAUUACGACUAGGAUCUCAAAACUUCAUUUUUUCGGGAACAUAUCUUCUCGGAGCACGUUAGCUGGCGCAUAGUAAUGGGUAAUAUUUCGCCUGGAAAUAAAGCAUCUUUACAUGA